rnacentral:sRNA from 1 species
UUUUAGCCCUGAUGGCAGUGGCAUCCUUUUUUUGCCUUCUUUAGGCAAGGAAAGAUAUAACGAACAGCAGGAAUUAGC